CAGUUGUUGUAACCCAUCUAUAUCCUACAUUAUUUGUUACAAUUGUCAUUUCAAUAAAACUUCCGCUCUCUUGCUUUUCAACUUUCAACGAACCAAGUCGUGUUUUAUUUCUUGUGCUCCGCAUUCUAUAUUCCAAUUUUAUAUUUCUAUCAAAGAACGCCCUUAACUUCAUCCAUAAACAUAAACAUGUCUAAUGCAGCAAUAUAGCUUUUGAUACCAUAGUUUGCACUCUUCACAUUGCAAAUGUCGCCAUUUUAGUUUUGUUUAUCCUAAAUUUAAAUUUCAUUAUAAAACUGGCGUGGAAUCGGCUAAUGUGAUGUGUGAUUAUCACAUUUGUGAUCAACAAAUGUGAUCACAUUAAAUUUUCUUUCUGGGUAAUGUGAUCAUCAAAAAUUAUUUGAAAUUUGGCAUCACUUUAGAAGAAUAGCUUGACGUUUGUCAUUUGACUUUCUCCUUCUUACCAAUUUUUACCGCGAAGUUUAUUUUCCAGUGAUUUUUCAAACUAAUUUAUUGAGUUGGUUGAAAAUAAAGUGUUAAAAAUGUCACAAGUGCUAGCGAACAAAUCGCAAAUAGAUUUGCUAACAAGCUUUAUGGAAGCGCACCCGGAUCUGGCUAAAUCCUUUUCCCAAAAAGGAAGCAACUCCCGGAAUGCCCAUAGAAUUUUGUGGGAAAAACUAAAGCAGCAACUAAACGCAAAUGGACCACCGUCAAAAAGUUGUGCGGAGUGGAAAAGAUUUUGGACAGUCCGGAAAUACAACGCCAAACAUAAAUUAAUUAAAAACAAAAAAUCAAUAACAAAAACUGGGGGAGGACCGUUUACUGAACAUACAGCUCAAAUAUAUUCAAUUUGCUUCGAAGGUUAAGAUUUAUCAAACGAACUUUUCUGCGGUAAUUAUUCUCACUUUCAUCAUUUUCAUUUCUUAAAAAUAAUUGCACAGGGACAAACACGUUCAUUUUUUACGAAAAUAGAAGAAACAAUAAGAAAUCGAUUUAUAUCGUGUCAAUUAUACCUAGAUGUGACAACAAAAUAGCUGUCACAAGAAAAAGUCACAAAUAUGUGACUAUCACAUGUGAUUAUCACCUUACGCAGACGGAAUUUUUAUUUUAUGACUAUCAACUAUCACAAAUCACAUUAGCCGAUCCCACCCCUGAACUUUUAAGAAUAAGUCGAGGAGUGCAAACAUCGGUAAUUUUGUAAAAAAUAAUAAAAUAGAAUUAAGAUCUCAUUUUUGUCAACUACAUAUCAAAAGACGAAACAUGUCUAUCUAAUAUAUUAAAUAAGAAGAAAUCUGUUCUGUGUAUCAAAAUAAAAGAAAGAAACUUAGAACUUGAAAUUAUAAAAGACGGAUCUAUACUUGUA